GGAGGAUCCAAGCGUUAUCCGGAUUUAUUGGGUUUAAAGGGUGCGUAGGCGGUUCGAUAAGUUGGAGGUGAAAUGUUAGGGCUUAACCCUGAAACUGCCUCCAAUACUGUUGGGCUAGAGAGUAGUUGCGGUAGGCGGAAUGUAUGGUGUAGCGGUGAAAUGCUUAGAGAUCAUACAGAACACCGAUUGCGAAGGCAGCUUACCAAACUAUAUCUGACGUUGAGGCACGAAAGCGUGGGGAGCAAACAGGAUUAGAUACCCUGGUAGUCCACGCAGUAAACGAUGAUAACUCGUUGUCGGCGAUACACAGUCGGUGACUAAGCGAAAGCGAUAAGUUAUCCACCUGGGGAGUACGUUCGCAAGAAUGAAACUCAAAGG
rnacentral:rRNA from 1 species